AUGAAUAUAACUUCUGGAAUUCGAAGAAUUGAUAUAAAAAGUGGUGAUUACAUGAACGAAAUUUUACUUAAUCUGAGUGUUAAUUACUACAAAAAUAGAUUAGAAAAUUAUUUUGAAAAAACAAUUAAAAAAAGUAUUGCAUAUUUACAAAAUUUUAAAAAAUAUGAAUAUAUAUUAACAAAAGAUAUACAAAAAGAAUUUUCACUUUUUAAAGAAAAAAAUAAAAUUCAUUUAUAUCCUAACUAUUUUGAAUAUAACAAUAAUUUUAAAGAUUCUUUAAAACUAAUUAAACUAAAUAUACCUUAUAUGUUUCCUAAUAUUAUGGAAUAUGAAAAAUUGAUUAUGUCGUUAAAAGGAAGUUUAAACACUUUUUAUAAUACAAAAACAUAUGAAAGAAUUAAUUUUAUUUCUUUCCAUUCGGUUAAGGUAAUAGAUGGGUUAAUAAAAUAUACUAAAAAAAAUAUAACUCUUUAUACAGAAUAUUUACAAAACUUUGUUAAGGAGACUAUAUAUGCAGUUAAUUCAUUUUAUGAGGAACUAAUACAUGAUUUAAAUGAACCUGCAGUAGUUAAUUUUUUUGACAAAAAAGAACAAAGUGAAGAAGAUGGAGCAAAAAAUGGUGUUGAAUAUGUUUUAGAUGGUAGUAUUGACACUACCAGCUUAAGUGAUAAAAAAAAAAAUAUUAAAACAUCAGCCAAUGGUGGAGUAACGUAUAGUGGCCAAAUAGGUAGUGGCCAAAUAGGUAGUGGCNNNNNNNNNNAAAAAGACAUCUUUUACAGUAUGAUGAGAAAUUUAAGAAGCAUUAAAUUAAGUAAAAAAUUAAUACCAUUAGUAUUUCAAAAAUUGAACGAAAUUGUACAAAAAUUGAAAGAAUUGAAUAUAACCGUUGACUAUAACGAUAUAUUAGAAAAUGUAGAAAAAAAUAAGGAAAAAGUAGAAAAACAAUAUAAUGAUAUAAAAGAAAAAAUAUUAAAAUAUAAGAAUAAAGAAGUUAAGAAUAUAAAAAAUGAAAUAAUUACACUUAAGGAACAAAUAAAUAAAAUAAAAAAAUAUAUAUUUGAAAAUGUACCUAAUAGUCCCAAUGAUAUAUAUAACACUUCUUAUAAAAAAAUUAAUGAAUUUUAUGCUAGUUUUGAAAUAUAUAAAGAAAAACAAAAAUGUCAUAAAGAGCUGGAAGUACUUUUCGAAAUGGACGUAACUGUUUUUAACGAACUAAAAGAAAUAGGUAGUCAUUUAAAAAUGUUAAAACAUUUUUGGGAUGUUGUCAAUGGAGUUAUUUAUUAUAUAAAAGAAGAAAAACAAAAAAUAUGGACAAAAAUUGAUGUUAAUAUUAAUAUAUAUAUUAUAGAUUUUGUAACAUUAUAUAUAAGAAAAAAUUUUAUCGAACUUAAGCAUUUACCUAUUUAUGAAUAUAUUAUUAAAGAAUUAAAAAAGUUGUCUCAAAUUUUGCCUUUACUUAUAGAUUUGAAUAAUAAAUUUGUAUUUGAUAGGCAUUGGAAUAUAAUUAUAAAUAUAUCUGGGAGUGUUAAUUCUUUAUAUUCUAAAAAGGGAGUAGUUAAUAUUACCACUGUUAGUAGUAAAGAUAAUACAAAACUGGUUGAGUUAGCAAUGGAAUCUAAACCUUUAGACAUAGAAAGUGAAAAAAAAAAUCGUGUUGAUAACAUUUCUCCAACUAAUGAUGUUUUACAAAGUGACGAUAAUGUCCAACCAAAAGAAGACCCAACUGGAAUGGACGUUGGUACUGUCCCUAUCGCCACUACUCCUAUGGUUACUACUCCUAUGGCUACUACUCCUAUNNNNNNNNNNCUCCUAUGGCUACUGCCCCUAUCACUACCACCCCUAUCACUACUACCCCUAAUGGUGUGGAAGAAAAUGUGUCAGAACCUAAAAGUGACUAUUCCAUUAAUAAGAAUUUAA
rnacentral:lncRNA from 1 species